UCCGGGAUAUCUCAGCUGGUCAAGAAUCUGCCUGCAAAGCAGAAGACCCCAGUUCGAUCCCUGGGUUGGGAA
rnacentral:tRNA from 1 species